GUCUUACUAGUUGCUGGGACCUCCCUGAAAGAAGGACCUUGUGUAAUUCCCCUCUAUACCCUCAGCGCUCAGCACAGUGGAUGGCACCUACUAAGGAUUGGAGAUCCUGAACAAAUCAGAAAAGAGGAUAUAUUCCCAACUGCUUUGUCUUGAUGUUGGUGGUAUUGAGUAGGAAGUCGGAUGGACAAGCUGAAGUUUAAAAGAUAAAUCAGGGCUGAAUACAGUGCAAAAGUUUUCAUGGUGGAGAGUCAGGACACAUUACAUGGACAAAUGGAGCUCCCAGAGGGCUUGUGUGGAGCUCAGGAAAAUGUACAGCUUAAUCUGCUGGGCGCCACAAUUCUGCUGCUUCAACUCAUUUGCUAUGGAAAAUGAGGAGUCAACAAACAAGGGAGAGAAACAGAGAUGGGGGCACUUCACAGAGCACUUUAAGAAAUGGAAUGAGCAGUACAGAGUGUCAAGUGAAGGCAGAAGUUAAGAAAGAUGGGAAGUCCAUUGGAAAUGACCAGGAGAUCAUUGACAUUACCUGCUGAGAUAUUAAACUGAAUAAAUGCUCUGGUGUUAGGUAGCAGAAUUGUGCUGUCUUUCAUGGCCAAAACCAAUCGAAUAGUUCCAGAUAUCCUUUGUACAUUCCCAGACAUAUCCUGAAUUAUUCACCUUAACCCAUCUCACCCUGAUUUUCACUGCCUGAGUUCCUGUCUCCUGGAAUAAAUUCUUAUUUAUUUAUUUGUUUGUUUAUUUAUUUAUUUAUUAAAUAAAUUCUUA